UUCCACAAUGCAAGAAUAAAUCGGGACCUAAGAAAGAAGUGGGUUUGGUUAUGAAAUGAGCACCAUAGGGCCUUCACUGUGAAGGCAGCUCCUCAAGGAGGUCACUCAGUGCCGCACUGUGUGAGGCCUAGGGGCGGGAGGCGGUGCUGAGCUUACAGAUAAAUCAAGGAUCCUGUUCCAGCCCAAACCUCUCUCGUCCCAGCACAGAGGCUGCAGAGAUACAGCACCUGGGCAGGAAGGAGGCCUCUGAAACUCCAGUCCUCUGGCCCAAAUCUUCUAGGGUCUGGACCUCCGUUUCCUCUUCAGCACAAGGGCCAGGCAAGACCCUAGGAUGAGGGGCAGGCGGCCUAGAUCCUGCCCUGGGCUAGGGAGGCCAGUGGGGCUCCCGCUUGACUGGGCGGCACUGCGGCCAAUAUUGACUUUGGUAAACACCAUCUUGCACUGAGCGCAGGGCGAGGGCGGGGGCGCCUUGACCCUGGAAGGGAGGCAGCGGCUCCGCAUUUAGACGAGGCCAUUAGCUGCGAUCGAUGGCCGCGCGGCGCGCUCCGGCCGCUGGGCGCUCCCAAAUGAAGGUUAAGUUUGCUCUGCGCCCCUGCGUGGCCAGCCAUGCGCCCGCAUAAUGGCCCGGACCCAGCCGCCGCGCGCCCGGGUUGAGCGCAGGCCGAGGGGCUGCACUGAAACUGAGCCUCAGGGAGGAGAAAGAGCUUGCCAGGAUGGCAAAAGUCAUCACAUGAACACAAUGGGAUUCAAACUGUGUUUGCCUACUGCACCUUCCUGUGUAGCUGCUGGUAACUCGGGACAGGUGGCUUGAAAUGCCAGUUCUCAUCAAGUAAGGAGUGAGGAAAAAGCCCUCUGAUGUACUCACCUGGGUGGAAAGCUCCCAGAAGUCACUUCCUCCAGGCCGGAUUAGAUAAGCUGUCUGCUCUGGUAAAUGAGUGACCUGCAGAAGAAGGACUGGAGCUGGGCCCCAUAAGGUUGACUGUGUCAAGGCCAUGCCACCUAGAGGGCCCAGCACUGCCUGCUCUGGCCAUCCUCCUGCCUGCCGUGCUAUCUCACCCUCAUCCAUGCUUUUCUGCCAUGGAGCAGCAAGGACCUUGGGACUCAGAAACAGGCUGAUUUUCCCAGGUGGCCACAGUGACCGUGGGUCUGGAACCCAAGAUUCUUGACGCUGCCCAGGGCUCUUGUGCACCUGCCACCUGGCACAGUCAGCCCUGCUUACUGCCAGCAACUCCUAAGCAACAACCAGAAUCGUCUGGCUGGCUCUCAUGCCAUCUCUGCCUUAACUGGUCAUACAGCUCCAGAGGGACUGCUCCCCUUCCUGGACCUCAGUGCACCCAAAUAUAAAACAAAGGCAAUAAGUGAUGUCCCCAAAAUAAAGAAUAAAGACACAU